rnacentral:rRNA from 1 species
UGAACGCUAGCGACAGGCUUAACACAUGCAAGUCGAGGGGCAGCACGGGAGUAGCAAUACAACUGGUGGCGACCGGCGCACGGGUGAGUAACGCGUAUGCAACCUACCUAUCAGAGGGGAAUAACCCGGCGAAAGUCGGACUAAUACCGCAUAAAACAGGGGCACCGCAUGGUGAUAUUUGUUAAAGAGAUUCGCUGAUAGAUGGGCAUGCGUUCCAUUAGGUAGUUGGUGAGGUAACGGCUCACCAAGCCGACGAUGGAUAGGGGGACUGAGAGGUUGGUCCCCCACACUGGUACUGAGACACGGACCAGACUCCUACGGGAGGCAGCAGUGAGGAAUAUUGGUCAAUGGGCGGGAGCCUGAACCAGCCAAGUCGCGUGAAAGGAAGAAGGAUCUAUGGUUCGUAAACUUCUUUUGCAGGGGAAUAAAGUGCAGGAAACGUGUCCUGUUUUGUAUGUACCCUGAGAAUAAGGAUCGGCUAACUCCGUGCCAGCAGCCGC